UUUUUUUCCUUAAAAAUGUGAAAGAUAUGAGCAUCCAAGAUUGUUGACUUGGAUGAGAUGGGCUGCCUGAGGAGACCCAUACAUUGAAAGAGGAAGUACGGGCGUGACGAAGAAGGCACGUGGAAUCUAUGCGCGCGGAGGUUAUAGGUAGGGGUGUUAGGAACCGAACUGAAAAUUGAACCGAAUCGAAAAAUUCGGUUCAGUUUGGUUUUUUUGGUUCAACUCUCAUUAAAAACCAAUAUUUUUUAUUGGUUCGGUUUUUAUCGGUUAACCAAACCAAACCGAACCACAAACCGAUAAAAUCGAACAAUUAAAAAUUCGAUUUUUUUCUCUCUUGACUCUCGUCUCCUCUGGCUCUGAGUCCUCUCCUCUCGUAUCUCGUCUUGGUUGGCUUGGAGGUGCAACGGUGAUGGCGUGUCAGCGACUACGAUGGUGACGACGAUGAUGACGGCAACAGCAGUAGGGACGGCAACGGCGACCGAUUGAGGGACAGAUCCCCUUUCUUUUGCAAGUCUCUCCUUCAUCCCUCUUCCUGCUGCGAUGGCGACGGCGAUGGCGAUUGAGAAGAAUUUGUAGCGGCCACAUGCCUGAGCAUGUCCUGCGCACACUCUGCUCUGGACUGAGGGGCCGCCAGUGGCUUUAGAUCUGCAACGCAUCUUGCUUGCUUAGUGAGCUAGGCUAGUUCAAAUUGGUAAGAUUCUCCUUUGAUCGCUCUGCGUUCAUCUUCCUCUGCAAAGAUCUCUUUUGCUAUUUUUCUCGGUGCUGUCGCUGGGUCGCAUGCAGAGGGUAUCUGGUUUUUUUUUUUCCUUUUUUCUUGCUUUGCUCCAUUUGUUAUGUUCUUCGAGGCUAAGGUUUUGUUUUUUUGCUGUGAUGCGAACUCUGAUCUGUGCUGCUGCGUUGGUUCCGAGGAACACUAUGUUCGUCUACCAUUUUUGCUGCUUUCUUUUUUGCGGAUUUUUGUUUUUAUGCUUCAGCUCUUCUUUUUUUCCUGUAUAGAAGGAUUUUCCUUGGAUUUAGGUGAGAUUUUCAUUGUUGUUUCGCUUCCAUUGGUGUGACGAGUGUUAAUUUUGUUGUUGUGCUGAGUGGUACACAAUGAAGAUGGAUUCUUUAUCUGUUUUUUGGGGGAAAUAUUGAAAAUAGAUUUAGCCAGAUGUUCAAUCUUCAGGUUGAGUUCUUGUUUCUAACAAAGUUCAGGUUUUUAUUUAGACAUGAUUAUCUGUUUAGUUUGUCAAUCUGUGGAAGUGAAGUGAUACCCGUGUUGCUUUAGCUCUGGAAACAUUGGAGGAGGGGGAUGUUGUUGCAGUUGGAAUGUCGAUUAAAGCUUCGAGUUCAACCUGAAAACCAAAAGCUGAAAAAGAAAAAAAAAAUUGAAAACCAAAAAUUGAAAACCAAAAACCAAAAAAUCGAACUGAGCCGUUGACAACCCUAGUUGUAGGUGCGUGGAUCCACACGCCACAUGGGUGCGGCACACACCUAAGCGGUUGAAGCACGCACCUCCAUCCCUCUAAUGAAUUUCCACUUCUCCGUUGGGUAGCUUAAAAAAUUCUGGUUCCCCACUUUUCCUUGAUUUUACGAUUCCGCCCCUCUCUAUUACAAUUAUGCCCCUUAAUUGUUUAUUUUACGGUUUUGCCCUUGGCUGUGUUAGAAUUUGAAUCUUUUAAUAUGCUUAUUCUUUAUAAAAAAAAAAAAAACGUUUUUGUUCAUUUAUCGAUGGGAUGGUAAUGUUCACAUGUUAGAGCAUGUUAUCAAGGUCAACAAGAUGAUAUGACAUAUAAUUUGGGCAAAUUCUCUUAUGAAAAAUGCUGACAAAGUCGAUGCCUUGAGAAAACACCCUUCCUAAAGAAUGGAAAACAAUUAUUGAUGAUCUUUGGGAAUUCGACGAGUGUCCACAAUAUGAUAUUAUUGUGGAAAUUUUUCCAGAGACAGUAUAUAAAGAUGGGGUAACGAAGACAUUGACUCUUGUGAUGAAUCUGACCUACGGCAAAUCUAAAAGACUUGCAAUGGUCCGCUCUUGGUUGCCAAAUUCAACUAUAAGAUUUCCUAAGGAAUUUUAUGAGCCUAUCCCUAUUCUUGUGAAGAUCAAGAAAUAUUGACGUUAUUUCUUUAGGGAUUGUGGGUAUUCAUGAAUGUUUUUAUGCUGAUAUUUUUCUUUCUUUUUAGACUUAUGCAUUUAUGGGACAUAUAGUAAUGAACAUUCGGUAGUAUUUUUUUUUUAAAUUGAUAUUAUUUUAUUCAUGUUAUAUUAUAAGUGGGAAGUUCUAGAAAGUUUUAGCAACUUUAAAGAAUUUAAUUUUGCGUAAAUAAUUAUAAUAAAGGUUUUUAUGGGUGGACUACCUAUGCUGGGCUAACCCAACCCAUAACUUGCAAAUGUAACUGCAUUGUUUUUAUAGUUAAUGUAACUGCCUUUAGAAGUUAACUUUCUUGAGAAAAAAGCGAAAAAGAUGGCUUCCUCUCAACACACAUAACUUUUCUCUCUAACAAAAACAAAGAAGAAGAACUCUUUCUCAUGAGAUUGUAAUCAAGGUAUUUAAUAUGUGGAAAUAAGGUAUGUUUCGAACAUUAAUUCUAAUUUAAAAUUAUCAUUAAUGUAAUUAGUUUGUGUAUAAUUGAUGCAUUAAUGUUAAGCAUUAAUAAUUGGUGCAUAUUUGUCUGAAGAAUAUGCUCAGAUUCAAUGGCUUCAGUAUCUAAGAAUAUCAUAGCCAAGCUCAACAAAGGAUAGAAACUGAAUGGCAAAAAUUAUGAAAUCUAAAAUAUGGAAAUCUAGUAUGUGCUAGAAGAAUAAGAAGUACUAGAAGCUCUUAAUUAGGUAAUGGAAGAACCUAAAGAUGGAAAUACUGCAUAACAUAUAAGGGAUAAAGGAGCAUUUAUGGCAUGGAAGAAAAAGAACUCUAUUGCCAUUGCUGAGUAGCAUGGAAAAUGAUAUUAUGCGGGAGUUUAGACAUUUGGAUAAUGCCAAAGACAUGUGGGCAACAUUAGCAACUAGGUUUGGUAAAAAAAUUUAUUACCAAACUAAGAUAGUUCAUUAUAAAGUUUGACUUUUAUAAGAUGCCUCAUGGGCAAAUCAUGAAACAAUAUUUGAGGCGUAUGUCAAACAUUAUUAGUGAACUAAAAGAUGUUGGCCAUAUAUUAACUGAUGAGCAGCAAAUGCAAGUAGUAAUACAUCAUUUGCCUCAAAGUUGGGAGCAUAUGAAAGUCUAAUUGACCCACAAUGAAAAUAUAAAGACUUUUGAGGACGCUAUGUGCCAUCUUGAGCUAGAGGAGGACUGCUUUAUAGUGGUUAAACUAGACAAAGACAUUUAUUUUGCAGGUUUUAACUCACAAGGGGCUUCGAGCUCCUAUAACAUGGUGAAUUCAAGAAGUGGAAAGGCAAUGGACCAAAUUUUUCAUGAAAGAAACCAUGGUUUAACCAACGUGGGAAAGGAAAACGUCAUUUUAAAAGGAACAUCUCAAAAGUGAGAUGUUUUAACUAUGGCAAUAAGGUUCACUUUGCUUGUGACUGUGGUAACCUAAAGAAAGUAGAAGCCCUUUGUGCAUCUGAGAGUAUUACUUAUGUAUCUAGUUCAGUUUUUCUAACUGAAUCUCAUUCUUUGUAGACUAAAGAUUCAGGAGCCACGUACCAUGUAGUAAAGGACAGAGAUGCCUUCAUGGAGUUCCGACGAGUUUCACAAGGAACGAAAUGGAUAUAUGUGGGAAACAAUUCUAGAGCAGAAGUCAAAAAGAAUGGCACCUACUAAUUGAAUGUGCAUGGUGGUCGAACCUUGUUUACACAUGAUGUAUUAAAUACUCUAGAAAUUUGUUGGAAUUUAUCUAUGUUGAUUUUAGUUAAGCUUGAUUUUAAAUUAAACUUUCAUAACAAUGGGAACAUGUUUUUAUGGUUUUGGAUAUUUCCUAGAUGGUUUCAUUGUAUUGAAUAUUAUUUAC
rnacentral:lncRNA from 1 species